rnacentral:rRNA from 1 species
ACUCGAAGAUCAUACCUAGAGUUGCGGGCUUUGCCUGCUAUCUCUUACCCAUGUCUUUUGAGUACCUUCGUUUCCUCGGCGGGUUCGCCCGCCGAUUGGACAAUUUAAACCAUUUGCAGUUGCAAUCAGCGUCUGAAAAAACUUAAUAGUUACAACUUUCAACAACGGAUCUCUUGGUUCUGGCAUCGAUGAAGAACGCAGCGAAAUGCGAUAAGUAGUGUGAAUUGCAGAAUUCAGUGAAUCAUCGAAUCUUUGAACGCACAUUGCGCCCCUUGGUAUUCCAUGGGGCAUGCCUGUUCGAGCGUCAUUUGUACCUUCAAGCUCUGCUUGGUGUUGGGUGUUUGUCUCGCCUCUGCGCGCAGACUCGCCUCAAAACAAUUGGCAGCCGGCGUAUUGAUUUCGGAGCGCAGUACAUCUCGCGCUUUGCACUCAUAACGACGACGUCCAAAAAGUACAUUUUUACACUCUUGACCUCGGAUCAGGUAGGGAUACCCGCUGACUAGCAU